AUGCGCUGGUUAUGGCCGAGCCAUGCCGGUGACGAGAGGGCCUGGAGCGGCCUCGACCUGCAGUUCUCGCAUGAGGAACGCUCGUUCUUCUUCGCGUCCACGACAACGACGAUCGGGAAUGGCCUGCACGCCCUCUUUUGGGAAGACCGAUGGAUUAACGGCCGCGCCGCCAGUGAGAUCGCGCCUCUCCUAUACGUUUGCAUCCCCAAACGGCGCCGCAAGUCCAGAACUGUCGCCGACGGCCUCCAUAGAAACCAAUGGGCUACCGACAUCCAUGGCACGAUUGGCAUACCGGAGAUAGGCGAAUACCUCGGCCUUUGGUGCCUGAUUGCCCAAACCACUCUCAGCAAUGAGCUGGACAGCCUUCGCUGGAAGUGGACUACGAAUGGAGAGUACUCUGCCAAGGCCGCAUAUCUCGCCACCUUCCAUGGCUCCACCCAUUGUCAGGCUUGGAGGCUAACCUGGAAGUGUUGGGCGCCGCCGCGGGUGCGUUUCUUCCACUGGCUAGCCAACCUUGACCACUGCUGGACAGCCGACCGCCUCGCGCGCCGCAACCUGCCACACCCACAACGUUGUCUGCUUUGCGAUCAGGCUCCGGAGACGCUGCAUCACUUCUCCUCGGAUGCCCCUUUGCCCGACAGGUGUGGCACGCGAUCCUCUCAUGGCUGCGCCUCUCCUGCCCGCCGCCCAACAACGACGCCACACUUCACGAUUGGUGGCGAAUGGCAAGACAGAACACGCCCAAGCCUAUGCACAAGGGUCUUGCCUCCGCUACCCUGCUCGUGCCAUGGAUGA
rnacentral:rRNA from 1 species